ACCCUAUAUGCCCUCACUGGUCCAUGGUUCUUAUAACGGACAGCUUAGCCCUAUGAAAAAACAAAAGCCCUAAAAUGCCCCACCUAUCCUUAGUAGGUCAAGGUGAGGUGCUGGAGAUGGCUACUGUGCCCAGGUCACAGAGGGGCAAGUGAGGUGGCAGUGAUCUCACACAGCUCUACCUGGAUUCAUCCUGGAGUCAAUCAGCCAUGGAGCACCAUCCGCUCAGCAGAUGAGCACUCAGGCUGUGGCACAUGAGCCUGAGUGACAUCAGCCCUGCCUGCUCUCUACUGAGGGCCAAACUCCAAGACGUGGGUAGAGGGGCUGGCAGCACCAGGACACACAAGUAAGAACCCCCUACACUCACAGUCUGUAAAAAGCUUGGCUUUAAAGGGGCUAACAGGUUGGUUCAUUGCACAAAGUCAGAAGUUUAGGCAUAGAUUUAGGUGUAAUUUACCCCACCUCGCCAAGGGGGACAGCACCGGGGACAAGAGCCAUCAUCCAGUGCAUCUGGAGUGGCUGAGAGCCACCAACUAAGAUGUCCAUCUGCAAUAUCAGAGCAUGUAUCUGUUACCCGGGUAACAGACUCCAGGUUGCCUAGUGAUCGUUUCCCUUCCUGACUUGGUCUCCUUUUUCUUUGGUGAAUCCCAUUCUUUGUUCUUUCCCUAGGCUGAGGUGGGUCCGUGGUACAUCUUGUUAAGGCUAGAGGCCUGCUGAAAUCUCCCUGCUGAAUGCUAGUGACCUUGACCUCUCUUGUAAUGAGGAAAGGAGCCUGAAGUUCAAUGUUUAUCGACCACAGAAACAAAAUGAGGCUGGAAUGAAGCGGGGGCCACCUGGGGAUACCCCAGGAGAAGGAAGCAAUGACCACCAGCCCAAGCAUAAGCUACCAAAUAGGUGCACAGCAGGGCAGUGUGGCCCACUUAGGAGUCCAUAAUCCCCUCAAACCUGAGGGCUAAGCUGUGACAGAUUCUGAGUGUACUAUAAAAUGCCUACCAUGAAGAACCACUGGCUGAGAGGUCACCAUUAUUUCUAGAAUGGCCUACUAGGAAGCAAAAUCUAACAAGUAGACCCAGGAAGGGCACGGGCAAGGUGGUCUGGUCUAUGGUGGGCCGCAGGAACAGGCAAAGAUGGUGCGACUAGCUUACAGCUACUGCAAAAACCCUGAGGAACUUGUAACCAGGCCUUUCCGAUCACCCACCAGGUGCCCAGCCGCCUGCAGCUCCAAAUACCUGAGCCAUGGUCGUGGGCCCUGCAGGCUUCCUGUGCGACUGCCACGAAUCCAGCCUGCAUGUUUGGGGAUGAUGCCUUCCAGAGCGAAAGUAGAGUCUUACAAUGGUGGGAAACACUGUGUUUCAGUUCAGUAACACGAAACGGAACUUAGACUACCCUGUCGCCCCAGAAAGACCAGCAUCUGUUUACUUAACUCACACACAGAACUUGCCACGCACAGAACUCGAGUCAGAUAUCUCUGCAGCUUGUCCGGGAUGCUCACCCAGAGGAAAAUGACAGAUACUUUCCCUUUCCAUGACUGCCUUGUCUAGGUGAUUCUGAUACUGAGGUUCUAUCACCUGCCACUCGCCAGAAUCUAAUGGGUGCUCCGGAAUGAAAUGUCUCCUAGUGAGUUCCUUGUCACAAGAAGCCAGUCAGCACGCACCUGCAAUGGUCCCCAAGGAACAGUACCAGAAACUGACCACAAAUGGCAUGUCCAAGUGCCGAGCCAAGGGCGCAAGCUCAGCUGCUGCUUUUGUUAAGAUGGGUUGCAUGUCCUAUUUACCUGGUGGCCUGCCUCACCUGGGUGGUCCUUGGGCAUUGGGCUUGUGGGUCCAGUGAUCUCUAGGCGUGAGAAUAUAUUAGUUCCUCUAUGA